rnacentral:rRNA from 1 species
GACGAACGCUGGCGGCGUGCUUAACACAUGCAAGUCGAACGGAAAGGCCCUGCUUUUGUGGGGUGCUCGAGUGGCGAACGGGUGAGUAACACGUGAGUAACCUGCCCUUUACUUUGUGAUAACUUCAGGAAACUGGUGCUAAUACCUGAUAGGAGCUCCUGCUGCAUGGUGGGGGUUGGAAAGUUUCGGCGGUUGGGGAUGGACUCGCGGCUUAUCAGCUUGUUGGUGGGGGAGUGGCUUACCAAGGCUUUGACGGGUAGCCGGCCUGAGAGGGUGACCGGCCACAUGGGGACUGAGAGACGGCCCAGACUCCUACGGGAGGCAGCAGUGGGGAAUAUGGCACAAUGGGCGGAAGCCUGAUGCAGCAACGUCGCGUGCGGGAUGACGGCCUUCGGGUUGUAAACCGCUUUCGCCUGUGACGAAGCGUGAGUGACGGUAAUGGGUAAAGAAGCACCGGCUAACUACGUG